AGCGAACGCUGGCGGCAGGCUUAACACAUGCAAGUCGAGCGGGCACUUCGGUGUCAGCGGCAGACGGGUGAGUAACACGUGGGAACGUACCCUUUGGUUCGGAAUAACGCUGGGAAACUAGCGCUAAUACCGGAUACGCCCUUUUGGGGAAAGGCUUGCUGCCGCAGGAUCGGCCCGCGUCUGAUUAGCUAGUUGGUGGGGUAAUGGCCUACCAAGGCGACGAUCAGUAGCUGGUCUGAGAGGAUGAUCAGCCACACUGGGACUGAGACACGGCCCAGACUCCUACGGGAGGCAGCAGUGGGGAAUAUUGGACAAUGGGCGCAAGCCUGAUCCAGCCAUGCCGCGUGAGUGAUGAAGGCCUUAGGGUUGUAAAGCUCUUUUGUCCGGGACGAUAAUGACGGUACCGGAAGAAUAAGCCCCGGCUAACUUCGUG
rnacentral:rRNA from 1 species